rnacentral:rRNA from 1 species
GGUAAUGCCGGAUGCUCCGACUCCUCGCAUGGGGUGUCGGGAAAGAUUUCAUCGGUAUGGGAUGGGGUCGCGUCCUAUCAGGUAGUCGGCGGGGUAACGGCCCACCGAGCCUACGACGGGUAGCCGGCCUGAGAGGGCGACCGGCCACAUUGGGACUGAGAUACGGCCCAGACUCCUACGGGAGGCAGCAGUGGGGAAUAUUGCACAAUGGGCGCAAGCCUGAUGCAGCGACGCCGCGUGCGGGAUGACGGCCUUCGGGUUGUAAACCGCUUUUGAUCGGGAGCAAGCCUUCGGGUGAGUGUACCUUUCGAAUAAGCACCGGCUAACUACGUGCCAGCAGCCGCGGUAAUACGUAGGGUGCAAGCGUUAUCCGGAAUUAUUGGGCGUAAAGGGCUCGUAGGCGGUUCGUCGCGUCCGGUGUGAAAGUCCAUCGCUUAACGGUGGAUCUGCGCCGGGUACGGGCGGGCUGGAGUGCGGUAGGGGAGACUGGAAUUCCCGGUGUAACGGUGGAAUGUGUA